AGGGCGCACGGUGGAUGCCUUGGUACUAGGAGCCGAAGAAGGACGGAACUAACACCGAUAUGCUUUGGGGAGCUGUAAGUAAGCUAAGAUCCAAAGAUUUCCGAAUGGGGGAACCCAACACCUUUCAUAGGGUGUUACCAAUGAGUGAAUACAUAGCUCAUUAGGAGGUACACGCAGGGAACUGAAACAUCUCAUUACCUGCAGGAAGAGAAAGAAAAAUCGAUUCCCUGAGUAGCGGCGAGCGAAACGGGAGGAGCCCAAACCAACGAGCUUGCUUGUUGGGGUUGUAGGACUAGAACGUGAGAAGAAAUCAAGAUAGCAGAAGUGGUCUGGAAAGGCCCAUCAAAGAAGGUGACAAUCCUGUACGCGACAUCUUGAUGAACUCUACUAGCAUCCUGAGUACGGCGGGACACGAGGAAUCCCGUCGGAAUCCGCCAGGACCAUCUGGCAAGGCUAAAUACUACCUAGUGACCGAUAGUGAACCAGUACCGUGAGGGAAAGGUGAAAAGAACCCCGGGAGGGGAGUGAAAGAGUACCUGAAACCGUGUGCUUACAAGUAGUCAGAGCCCGUUAAUGGGUGAUGGCGUGCCUUUUGUAGAAUGAACCGGCGAGUUACGUUUACAUGCGAGGUUAAGAUGAAGAGUCGGAGCCGUAGCGAAAGCGAGUCUGAAUAGGGCGCAUGUAGUAUGUGGACGUAGACCCGAAACCAAGUGAUCUACCCAUGUCCAGGUUGAAGGUGCGGUAAAACGCACUGGAGGACCGAACCAGGGCACGUUGAAAAGUGCUUGGAUGACUUGUGGGUAGCGGAGAAAUUCCAAACGAACUUGGAGAUAGCUGGUUCUCUCCGAAAUAGCUUUAGGGCUAGCGUCGACAUAGAGAUUCUUGGAGGUAGAGCACUGUUUGGGUGAGGGGUCCAUCCCGGAUUACCAAUCUCAGAUAAACUCCGAAUGCCAAUGAAUUAUGGUCGGCAGUCAGACUGCGAGUGCUAAGAUCCGUAGUCGAAAGGGAAACAGCCCAGACCACCAGCUAAGGUCCCAAAAUAAUUGUUAAGUGGAAAAGGAUGUGGGGUUGCACAGACAACUAGGAUGUUAGCUUAGAAGCAGCUAUUCAUUCAAAGAGUGCGUAAUAGCUCACUAGUCGAGUGACCCUGCGCCGAAAAUGUACCGGGGCUAAAACAAUUUACCGAAGCUGUGGAUACCUUUUAUAGGUAUGGUAGGAGAGCGUUCUAUGUGUGAAGAAGGUAUACCGUGAGGAGUGCUGGAACGCAUAGAAGUGAGAAUGCCGGUAUGAGUAGCGAAAGACAGGUGAGAAUCCUGUCCACCGUAAGACUAAGGUUUCCAGGGGAAGGCUCGUCCGCCCUGGGUUAGUCGGGACCUAAGGAGAGACCGAAAGGUGUAUCCGAUGGACAACAGGUUGAUAUUCCUGUACUAGAGUAUGAAGUGAUGGAGGGACGCAGUAGGCUAACUAAAGCAGACGAAUGGAAGAGUCUGUCUAAGCAGUGAGGUGUGAAUUGAGUCAAAUGCUUAAUUCUAUAACAUUGAGCUGUGAUGGGGAGCGAAGUUUAGUAGCGAAGUUAGUGACGUCACACUGCCAAGAAAAGCUUCUAGCGUUUAAACAUACUCUACCCGUACCGCAAACCGACACAGGUAGUCGAGGCGAGUAGCCUCAGGUGAUCGAGAGAACUCUCGUUAAGGAACUCGGCAAAAUGACCCCGUAACUUCGGGAGAAGGGGUGCUGGUAGCAAUACCAGCCGCAGUGAAUAGGCCCAGGCGACUGUUUAUCAAAAACACAGGUCUCUGCAAAAUCGAAAGAUGACGUAUAGGGGCUGACGCCUGCCCGGUGCUGGAAGGUUAAGAGGAGAGGUUAGCCGCAAGGCGAAGCUUUGAAUUGAAGCCCCAGUAAACGGCGGCCGUAACUAUAACGGUCCUAAGGUAGCGAAAUUCCUUGUCGGGUAAGUUCCGACCCGCACGAAAGGCGUAAUGAUUUGGGCACUGUCUCAACGAGAGACUCGGUGAAAUUUUAGUACCUGUGAAGAUGCAGGUUACCCGCGACAGGACGGAAAGACCCCAUGGAGCUUUACUGUAGUUUGAUAUUGAGUGUUUGUGUCACAUGUACAGGAUAGGUAGGAGCUGAAGAAUCCGGGACGCCAGUUUCGGAGGAGGCAACGGUGGGAUACUACCCUUGUGACAUGACCACUCUAACCCGCACCCCUCACCGGGGUGGGAGACAGUGUCAGACGGGCAGUUUGACUGGGGCGGUCGCCUCCUAAAAUGUAACGGAGGCGCCCAAAGGUUCCCUCAGAAUGGUUGGAAAUCAUUCGAAGAGUGUAAAGGCAGAAGGGAGCUUGACUGCGAGACCAACAAGUCGAGCAGGGACGAAAGUCGGGCUUAGUGAUCCGGUGGUACCGUAUGGAAGGGCCAUCGCUCAACGGAUAAAAGCUACCCUGGGGAUAACAGGCUUAUCUCCCCCAAGAGUUCACAUCGACGGGGAGGUUUGGCACCUCGAUGUCGGCUCGUCGCAUCCUGGGGCUGUAGUCGGUCCCAAGGGUUGGGCUGUUCGCCCAUUAAAGCGGUACGCGAGCUGGGUUCAGAACGUCGUGAGACAGUUCGGUCCCUAUCCGUCGCGGGCGUUGGAAAUUUGAGAGGAGCUGUCCUUAGUACGAGAGGACCGGGAUGGACA
rnacentral:rRNA from 1 species